GGAAUAGCUCAGUGGUAGAGCCCAUGUUUAACAUGCAUGAGGUCCUGGGUUCAAUCUUCAGGUACUUCCA
rnacentral:tRNA from 1 species